rfam:Mesocricetus auratus contig197540, whole genome shotgun sequence.
GGAUCGAUGAUAAAAACAAGUUUUUGAGGACUGUGAUUUACUUGUAACUAUGCCAAUCUGAGCUCC